rnacentral:rRNA from 1 species
UAAGCCAGGAAUUUCUAAGUACAAACUUUAUUAAAGUGAAACCGCGAAAGGCUCAUUAAAUCAGUUAUGGUUCCUUAGAUCGUACCACAAAUCAAUUAAUUGGAUAACUGUGGUAAUUCUAGAGCUAAUACAUGCAAACAGAGCUCCAACCUGAAAAGGAAGGAGUGCUUUUAUUAGAUCAAAACUAAUCGGCGGCGGCAUCGUUUCGGCGUUGUCGUUCGUCGCUCAUUUUAUGGUGAAUCUGAAUAACUUUAUGCUGAUCGCAUGGUCUUGCACCGGCGACGCAUCUUUCAAAUGUCUGCCUUAUCAACUGUCGAUGGUAGGAUCUGCGCCUACCAUGGUUGUAACGGGUAACGGGGAAUCAGGGUUCGAUUCCGGAGAGGGAGCCUGAGAAACGGCUACCACAUCCAAGGAAGGCAGCAGGCGCGCAAAUUACCCACUCCCGGCACGGGGAGGUAGUGACGAUAAAUAACGAUACGGGACUCAUCCGAGGCCCCGUAAUCGGAAUGAGUACAAUUUAAAUCCUUUAACGAGGAUCAAUUGGAGGGCAAGUCUGGUGCCAGCAGCCGCGGUAAUUCCAGCUCCAAUAGCGUAUAUUAAAGUUGUUGCGGUUAAAAAGCUCGUAGUUGAAUUUGUGUCCCGCACUGUCGGUUCACCGCCCGCGGUGUUAACUGGCAUGUUUGCGGGACGUCCUGCCGGUGGAUGUAAGUGUUUGUACUUUACAGUCUUUCACACAUCCGAUUUUAUCCUGUCGCGGUGCUCUUAAUUGAGUGUCGAGUCGGGCCGGCACGUUUACUUUGAACAAAUUAGAGUGCUCAAAGCAGGCUAUUAUAUGCCUGAAUAAUUAGUGCAUGGAAUAAUGGAACAGGACCUUGGUUCUAUUUUGUUGGUUUUUCGGAACCCAAGGUAAUGAUUAAUAGGGACAGGUGGGGGCAUUCGUAUUGCGACGUUAGAGGUGAAAUUCUUGGAUCGUCGCAAGACGGACUUAAGCGAAAGCAUUUGCCAAAAAUGUUUUCAUUAGUCAAGAACGAAAGUCAGAGGUUCGAAGGCGAUCAGAUACCGCCCUAGUUCUGACCAUAAACGAUGCCAGCUAGCGAUCCGCCAACGUUCCUCCGAUGACUUGGCGGGCAGCUUUCAGGAAACUAAAGCUUUUGGGUUCCGGGGGAAGUAUGGUUGCAAAGCUGAAACUUAAAGGAAUUGACGGAAGGGCACCACCAGGAGUGGAGCCUGCGGCUUAAUUUGACUCAACACGGGAAACCUCACCAGGCCCAGACACUGUUAGGAUUGACAGAUUGAGAGCUCUUUCUUGAUUCAGUGGGUGGUGGUGCAUGGCCGUUCUUAGUUGGUGGAGCGAUUUGUCUGGUUAAUUCCGAUAACGAACGAGACUCUAGCCUACUAAAUAGACGUUUACUAUUACCAGUAUCUUGAAGGCUCACUUCUCAUGUACUUUAACUACUCAUCGCCUGCAUUGAAAAAUGUACGGUUAGGUGUGUAGUGAGUCGCGAGCUUGUGGUUUUUACUACUGGCGUACUUUAUAUUCUUCUUAGAGGGACAGGCGGCUUCUAGCCGCACGAGAUUGAGCAAUAACAGGUCUGUGAUGCCCUUAGAUGUUCUGGGCCGCACGCGCGCUACACUGAAGGAAUCAGCGUGUCUUCCCUGGCGGUAACGCCCGGGUAACCCGCUGAACCUCCUUCGUGCUAGGGAUUGGGGCUUGCAAUUAUUCCCCAUAAACGAGGAAUUCCCAGUAAGCGCGAGUCAUAAGCUCGCGUUGAUUACGUCCCUGCCCUUUGUACACACCGCCCGUCGCUACUACCGAUUGAAUGAUUUAGUGAGGUCUUCAGACUGGUACGCGGUAGUGUUUCGACAUUACCGAUGUCGCUGGGAAGAUGACCAAACUUGAUUAUUUAGAGGAAUAA